GUACUUACCGGGCAGGGGAGAUACCAUGAUCACAAAGGUGGUUUUCCCAGGACGAGGCUUAUCCACUGCACUCCAGAUGUGCUGACCCCUGCGAUUUCCCCAUAUGGGGAGACUUGACGGCAUAAUUUGUGGUAGUGGGAGAAGUGCAUUCAUGCUCUCUCCUG
ensembl:snRNA U1 U1 spliceosomal RNA